CGGGGGGCAGCAGUGGGGAAUUUUACACAAUGGGCGAAAGCCUGAUGUAGCAACGCCGCGUGGAGGAUGAAGGAUUUAGGUUCGUAAACUCCUUUUAUAAGGGAAGAAAUUUGACUGUACCUUAUGAAUAAGCACCGGCUAACUCCGUGCCAGCAGCCGCGGUAAUACGGGGGGUGCAAGCGUUACUCGGAAUCACUGGGCGUAAAGGGAGCGUAGGCGUCUUGUUAAGUCUUGAGUGAAAGCCCGCAGCUCAACUGCGGAACUGCUUGGGAAACUGACAAGAUUGAGUAUGGAAGAGGUAGGUGGAAUUUCCAGUGUAGGGGUAAAAUCCGUAGAUAUUGGAAGGAAUACCAGAAGCGAAGGCGACCUACUGGGACAUUACUGACGCUGAGGCUCGAAAGCGUGGGGAGCAAACAGGAUUAGAUACCCGCGU
rnacentral:rRNA from 1 species